rnacentral:rRNA from 1 species
GACGACCGGCGCACGGGUGAGUAACGCGUAUGUAACCUUCCUUUAACUGGGGAAUAGCCCGGAGAAAUUCGGAUUAAUACCCCAUAACAUUGCGGAGAGGCAUCUUUCUGCAAUUAAAGCUCCGGCGGUUAAAGAUGGGCAUGCGUGCCAUUAGCUAGUUGGUGAGGUAACGGCUCACCAAGGCUACGAUGGUUAGGGGGUCUGAGAGGAUGAUCCCCCACACUGGUACUGAGACACGGACCAGACUCCUACGGGAGGCAGCAGUGAGGAAUAUUGGGCAAUGGGCGCAAGCCUGACCCAGCCAUGCCGCGUGAAGGAUGAAUGCCCUAUGGGUUGUAAACUUCUUUUAUACGAGACGAAUCUUCCGAACGUGUUCGGAACUGACUGUAUCGUACGAAUAAGCAUCGGCUAACUCCGUGCCAGCAGCCGCGGUAAUACGGAGGAUGCAAGCGUUAUCCGGAUUCAUUGGGUUUAAAGGGUGCGUAGGCGGAAGAAUAAGUCAGUGGUGAAAGCCUGCGGCUUAACCGUAGAAUUGCCAUUGAUACUGUUUUUCUUGAGUAUAGUUGAGGUGGGCGGAAUGUGUAAUGUAGCGGUGAAAUGCUUAGAUAUUACACAGAACACCAAUUGCGAAGGCAGCUCACUAAGCUGUUACUGACGCUGAGGCACGAAAGCGUGGGGAGCAAACAGGAUUAGAUACCCUGGUAGUCCACG